GACGGCCAGUCCAAUAGAGUGAACCGUAAUUAUCCUUUACGCGAAGAAUAUAAUUUAGGGUUCAUCGCCACAUCUGAUCUUCGUCUUCGUCACCAAAACGCUUCCAGAUUCUUCAUGUGAGGCGGUGUAUCUGCGGGUAUAAAAAGGUCAGCACUCCUCCUCUCCGAAUCAUCUUAUCAAUAUGUUCGAACAACAAAAUAAACUUAUUUUCUAAGAAAUGGCUAACUCCCAAGUUUUAUUUUCCGAUUUGAAUGUAAGUUUGACAAUCUCCGGACGAUUCCAUGAUUAUUUCCUUAAAAACAAGCUCUUUUUUUUGUUUCAGUGAAGAGAAAGAAAAUAUCUGUUUGAAUAAUAAAUAAACACGUAUUGCUCAAAGUUGGUUGCUUAAAGCAACUUGCUUUAGAGUCUUCUAUAGUGCUUUAUGUCUGUUGGCUCUUGCAGCUGUUUCUUUGUCGCUUCAUCUAUCAGUACUAAUAUAGCAGACGAAUGUUACACAGUACAACUAACUCCGAAUCAUGUGGUUCUAAUUUGCAAUGCUACAUUUCUGCCAGUGCAUGAUUUCAGAUUCAUUAUGAAAUAGUGGUACUACUAUGGCAAAUUUGUAGUGUUUAAGAAUUGUUAAUCUUAGCGGUGUGUGCGAGCAGAAGCAAAUAAGGCAGUUUCAAGAGAUGAUGACACGUCAUUGAACAAAAGUGACAGUAGCCUCAAUGGUUCUGUCAACCAAAAUCAACUAUAGGGUGAAUAAUGGUGGUAUGAGUUACUUAUUAAAAGCUGAAUUAAAUGGAGGGUUCAAUGGGAACUAUGUAGGAGGAAGCAUAGGAGAGAAGUCGAGAACACUCGGUGAAAUUUUUAAUUAUGGUAGAAGCAGUGGAAUGUGCCUAAGAUCUACAAGAGAAGGACGGGUUGUUCAUAUGAGCUGCUCGAGUUGGGAAAUGUUGAGUGGAGGAAAACGCCGUUUUGGAUACAUGAGAAACACAUGAAUUGCUUCUACCUUCGAGAUUUGACGUAUCUACUACACAUAGGGACAUGAAAUGAUUGUGGAGUAAGUCUUAGAAUGAAGUUUUUAGAAUCCCAUAAUUUUGUAACAUUUGAGCUUCAGUUUGGAUAUUGUUUUUAGAUUUCUUUUUUUUUUUUUAGUCUCCUCCGGUUUGGAUUUUGUUUUCACUCCUUUUGUCUUUGAUGUAAAAUGACAAAUAUAGAAAGGAAACCAAAUUAAGAUA